GAGUUUGAUCAUGGCUCAGAUUGAACGCUGGCGGCAGGCCUAACACAUGCAAGUCGAGCGGUAACAGGGAUAGCUUGCUAUCUGCUGACGAGCGGCGGACGGGUGCGUAACACGUAGGAAUCUACCCAGUAGCGGGGGAUAGCCCGGAGAAAUCCGGAUUAAUACCGCAUACGCCCUACGGGGAAAGCAGGGGAUUCUUUCUUUGGAGAGAACCUUGCACUAUUGGAUGAGCCUGCGUCGGAUUAGCUAGUUGGUGGGGUAAAGGCCUACCAAGGCAACGAUCCGUAGCUGGUCUGAGAGGAUGAUCAGCCACACUGGGACUGAGACACGGCCCAGACUCCUACCGGGAGGCAGCAGUGGGGAAUAUUGCACAAUGGGCGGCAAGCCUGAUGCAGCCAUGCCGCGUGUGUG
rnacentral:rRNA from 1 species